GACGAACGCUGGCGGCGUGCUUAACACAUGCAAGUCGAACGAUGAAGCCGGAGCUUGCUCUGGUGAAUUAGUGGCGAACGGGUGAGUAACACGUGAGUAACCUGCCCUUGACUCUGGGAUAACUGCUAGAAAUGGUAGCUAAUACCGGAUACGGCCCUCGGCGGCAUCGCCAGGGGGUGGAAAGAAUUUCGGUCAAGGAUGGACUCGCGGCCUAUCAGCUAGUUGGUGAGGUAACGGCUCACCAAGGCGACGACGGGUAGCCGGCCUGAGAGGGUGACCGGCCACACUGGGACUGAGACACGGCCCAGACUCCUACGGGAGGCAGCAGUGGGGAAUAUUGCACAAUGGGCGCAAGCCUGAUGCAGCAACGCCGCGUGAGGGAUGACGGCCUUCGGGUUGUAAACCUCUUUUAGUAGGGAAGAAGCGAAAGUGACGGUACCUGCAGAAAAAGCACCGGCUAACUACGUGCCAGCAGCCGCGGAAA
rnacentral:rRNA from 1 species